UUAGCCUGUGUGAUAGGACAGGCAGGCAGGCACUGAAGAAGCAGAAUCUGUCGGCACUGCCAGUGGACAGGCCUGCCCUGCCCAGCCCACUUCCUGUGCCCUCCACCUGCAAACCUUCUCCACAUCAUCCUCGUCCACAUCCAAGAUGGCGCCAUCAUGGUCUAGCUUCACACGCACCUUGCCUUCUGGCAAGCUGAGCUCCUCAGAUUUGAGCUGACUGCCUACAGAGCGGGGACAGACAGUCAGACACAGGCCCGGGAAGCCUCUGCCACCCUCUUCAGGCCCUUUGUGGUCCUGUCCCUUCCCUACUAUAUCACUAGCCUCUCCUCACUCACCACCCAGGCCUCACCAGACCCAGAAGGCACACCCAGCCCGGAAACCUGAGAGGCCCAGGCAUCUGCACCCUGGGCCUCCCCAGACUCACCCAGAGAGAAGCCAUCCUUAUGGACCAGCCACACCUUCUCUGUCUCAUACCAGGCCUCCUCAGCUGCAAUCUGCUCUUCUGUCUUCACCUAUCAGAGGAAGGGGGGGUAAUAAAUAGUCAGACCUUGCUCUGGAAAACAGUCGGGACAGAAGAGAAGAGACAUGUGAGGGGAAGUGCUUCCAGAUGAGCCACCUGGUUAAACGUUCAUCUCGACUGGACACAUUCUACGGGUCAGAUGCUUGGAACCUGAUGAAGAAGGGGACAUCACAGGGUCCUGGCCUAGAACGAAUCCUUUAGAGCUAAUUCAAAGGUGAGAAGCCCACGUGAGGGCCCCCAGACUGCCAUGGAGCCAUCCUUCCAUAUUCAGGUGCUCCCCCCGUCCCCCCUGGCCUGGGAACCAUACACGUGAGGUGGCAUUACAGGAGUUGUGAAGAUCCUCUCAAGGCGCUGGUGGGCCUCCUCUGCGGGGGUCAGCUGGACCUCAGCGGCAGCUCCUGCCUAGAGGUUAAACCACUGUCAGUCCUGGCCUGGGGAGGAGUGGGGGGCACAGCAUGCCAAGCUUCUAGCCUAGGAAGCCACUGGGACCCAGUGGGGAGGUGGAGUAGGGUCAGGGAGGCAAGCCAGGCACCAACUUGAGCUUUUUUUUUAAGU